UACGUAGGCAGCGAGCGUUGUUCGGAUUUACUGGGCGUAAAGGGUGUGUAGGCGGUUUUUUAAGUUUGGUGUGAAAUCUCCCGGCUCAACUGGGAGGGUGCGCCGAAUACUGAAUGACUUGGAGUGCGGGAGAGGAGAGUGGAAUUCCUGGUGUAGCGGUGAAAUGCGUAGAUAUCAGGAGGAACACCGGUGGUGUAGACGGCUCUCUGGACCGUAACUGACGCUGAGACACGAAAGCGUGGGUAGCAAACAGG
rnacentral:rRNA from 1 species